AGAGGUAUGACUGUCAUAAUAUCUACGAUUGGAUUCAAAAAAGUGUAGGCCUCGGGUAAUUUGCCGAUGAAAAAACUACUUUAACAUAGGGUCGAAUUAAGACAGAUACCGAUCAAACUAAAGGUAUUAAGCAUCACAGUCUUUUUGUUCUGGGAGAUAAUUGCAUUUUGAUUGAUUUAUUGAUAUAAGGAAAAGGAAAGUGAGUAAGAUAAACAAAAAGUUAUUCUUUUUCUUUGAACCCACCCAAUCAAAAAUCCUCCUUUUCUCAAAGGAGAAUCGAAAAAAAUCAUAUUUUCAUGCAAUAUCUUAAUUGAAUUAUAUCUAAUGAUCAAUAAAUUAAGUUGAAUUCUAUAUCUACACAUACCAAAAACCUAGAAAAAUCCUAGUACCAAUCUAAUCUACUAUAUAGAUAUUUGGACUAGAGUUGACAAACAAACAAAACCAGCAAUAUACCAUUUUAGUAUCGGAUAAAAAUAUAGAUGGGGCGUGGCCAAGCGGUAAGGCAACGGGUUUUUGUCCCGCUAUUCGGAGGUUCAAAUCCUUCCGUCCCAGAACAUAUAUAUCCAAUGAUAAUAUAGAUUGCUUUUUUAACAAUGUUCUGUUUAAAAUCGAAAUGUUAGCUGGAAUGUGAUUGUUGUUUCUGAUUUUUUUCUUCAAUGAAUCUUUGAAAAACUGAAUCGAGAUGCGGAAGAAUCCAGAUUCCCUAUCUCGUAUUUUCUACCCCCUAAAUUAAACUAAUAAGAUUUAAUUUUCUUUUUUGUAGAUUUCUUUACUUUUCAUCAAGAGUGGGGUUUUGGUACUAAUUCAAUUUACUAAGUCUCUUAAUUCUUAAUCAAUGAGUUAGGCUAAAAUAGAAAAAAAGGAGCAAAAACUGGACCUAAUCUGGACUUGUUUGGCUUUGUGCCUAGACAGCUCGCAUUUCGGAAAAAUAAAAAAGACUAGGACACCCCCUUAGUUUCUUUUGAUUUAUGCUGCAUCAGUCCCAUAGAAUGGGGUAGAUAGGAGUUAAUCAGUAAUGGGAAGGCGUUCAUUUCAAUAUAUUGCAAUAUCUAUAAAGGGUGACAAUUGCUCAGUCUAUUUGAUCGAUUUGAUAGACACGAACACCUCCCCAUUCUUUGUAUUUUAUCAAUCAGAUGAAAAAAAAGAAUAAGAAUUCAAACUUACCUUACAUUAAUCUUUUUUUAUCUAUCUCAUAACUCAUAAAAAAAAUUGGAUUUGUUGUUUGGUGUAUUUAUCUAUUGUAAAUCAUUGAAUGUAAAUCAUUGAAAUCGUUGAUGAUUCACUUAAAAAAAAAAGACUUAUCUUUUUUCCUAAGAUGAUCAAAAGUUAUUUUUAACUAUCAAAUUUUCUUUGAAUAAUGAUGUGAUGUCGAAAAGAGAACUUUCUAAAUUUAUUCGAAAGUUAGAAAGAGAAAUAGUUUUAAUCAUUCCUUUUAAUCAUUCCUUAUAAACUGAAUCUUUCUCUCCUAUUAAGUCACGUGAAGAUGCAGAAUCAAAAAGAAUUCAUUUAUUCGUCUUAUUUUUUAUUAUUUAUAUAUAUUAUAUAUUUUAUUAUUUAUAUAUUUAUAUAAAUAAUUUAAUAAAUAUUUAAUAAAUAUAUUAAUUAAUAUAAUAUGUAUUAAUUAAUAUAAUAUGUUAGACAAAUUAAUAUUAGCGAUGGGCUCUUACUAAGAGACUUCUUCAGAAAAAUCUUUAUCCACCUAUAUCUAUAGUAUUAUUUAUAUCCCUUUAUAUCUCUAUACUAUAGAUUAUGGUGUUUAUACAUCAGCCCAACCAAUGACUAUUCAUGAUUCCAUAAUUGAAUCAAUUCCAUACCGGUUCUUAGAGGAAUGUUAUGGUAAAACUUCGUUUGAAACGAUGUGGUAGAAAGCAACGUGCGACUUGAAGGACACGAUCCGUUGUGGAUUUGUACAUCCACCAUUUUAUGUAGGAAUGAAGGUGCUCUUGGCUCGACAUCAUUGGUUCUGUUUCACUAGAACCCCUCGCUUUUUGUUGUCUUGGAAUGUAAAUAGUCCAUGAUGGAGCUCGAGUAGAAAGUAUUAAUUUAUUUCUCGGGGCAAGGGUCUAGGGUUAAUGCCAAUCAAUAAAAAAAUUGAAACAACUUCGUAAAUAUAUCUUCGGUAUGGAAAUCGAAAGAAUCCAAUUCGAGCAAGUUAAAAAUUCCAAAAUUUCUUUGAAUUGAUCAAACUUUUUCGAUCCAAAGUGUUUCACGAGGGAAUCCAUCGUCUUGUAGAAUUCUUUCCUAGAAAUCCCAAAAAGGGUAUGUUGCUGCCAUUUUGAAAGGAUUAAAAAGCACCGAAGUAAUGUCUAAACCCAAUGAUUUAAAAUAAAACAAAGAUAAAGGAUCCCAGAACAAGGAAACGCCUUUUAAUUGUCUUAAUAACUGGAUCAGACUGAAGAAUCCGAUUUUAAACGAGACAAACAAAAAAGGAGGAAAGACCGCUCAAUAAAUGAAAUUGCCGAAAGAUUUUCCUUUGAACUGUUUGAAAGUUAUCCAACUUGAGUUAUGAGAGUACGAAUGGUUUCUUUUUCAUUUUCAGGAAGAAAGAAGAAAAAAAAGGACUUACAUCUUUAAUUGAUUUGAUCAUUUUAUGGACCCAGUUGUCAUUUCUUAGAUAGAAUUCCAUACAUACAGAGACAAAACCAAAACCUCGAAUCAAUCAUUUUCUCGAGCCGUACGAGGAGAAAGCUUCCUAUACGUUUCUAGGGGGGGUGUUGUUCAUCUACAUCUAUCCCAAUGAGCCGUCUAUCGAAUCGUUGCAAUUGAUGUUCGAUCCCGAAGAGAAGGAAAAGAUCUUCGGAAAGUGGGUUUUUAUGAUCCGAUAAAGAAUCAAACUUAUUUAAAUGUUCCUGCUAUUUUAUAUUUCCUUGAAAAGGGGGCUCAACCUACAGGAACUGUUCAGGAUAUUUUAAAGAAGGCGGAGGUUUUUAAGGAACUUCGUCCUAAUCAACCAAAAUUCAAUUAAGGAAAUAAAUUAAGGAAAUACAAAAAAGGGGGGGUAGUGAUUUGUAUAUAAUAAGGAAAUACAAAAAGGGGGGGGGGGGGAGGGUUUUGUAUAUAACUUUGUAUGACUUUUGUUUUCUAUUUUUUUGUAAUUCCUCCCUUUCCUUUCCUUGUAUUCUAUUUUUUUGUAAUUCCUCCCUUUCCUUUCCUUUUCUAUUUGUAUUUAUUUAUCAUUGCUUCCAUUGAAUUCCAUGUUCUAUAAUGACAAAACCUCUUAUUUUAUUGAUCUUAGAAAUAAUAAAUUCGGGCAUUUCGGUUGAUUUUCCGUUUUUCAUUGGAACUCUACUAAAGCUAACAAAGAAAUCAAGUUUUCUUUUAUCACUUAACUUGAUUGAAUCCAUUAUGGAUUCAAUAAAUCUAAGUAAAUUGUAGUUUUGUUUUCCACUUAUUCUUUAUUUAUUCUCUCAUCUAUACUUUUUUCUAUCGAUUUUAUUUGGUUUGGAUUAUAUUUGUAGUGCCACUCCAACACAAAUCUUUUUUUUUUAUUGUUUUCAAUUGAAUUUUCUUUUUUUUUUCAAUAUUUAUAUUGACAACAGUGUAUCGAACAAAUAUAAUUCAUUGUGAUAAAUUGAUAAAUGAAGUGGAUCUAUUUAGUUUUAUUUUAUCUUUUAAAUUAAUUAGAAAGUGUGAAUUUAUUUUUUUAGAUUUCUUCUUUCAAUGGUUUUUGGUUGUCUUGUCUAAUCUCUUUAUUUCUUUUUCUUCGGAUUAGAUCUACACCAUUUUUUCAAUAUUUUCUUUGGGUUACUAACUCAUCGAUAGAGUACUCGGCUUUUAAGUGCGGCUACUGUCUUUUACACAUAUGGAUGAAAUGAGGGAUUCAUCCAUACUCUCGGUAAAGUUUGGAAGACCAAUUUAUCAAAUCUGAAAAAGAGUCAGAAGAAAUAGUUCGAGCAUCUUAUUUUGAUUUCUCGAACAGAGAGAUCCAUGAAUUGGGAUCCUGAUGCAUAUAGAUACAAAUGGUCCAAAGGGAGUAAGAAUUUCUUGGAACAUUUGGAGCAGUCUGUUUCGUAGCAGAAGAGCUGUUUUCAGGUAGUGUUCGAUUGAUUACGUAUUAAUCAAUAUUCGAUUGAUUGGUCUGAGGUUAUCGACAAAAAAUAUUUGUCUAAGCUACUUCGUUUCUUUUUGUCCAAGUCACCUUUUUUUUUUUGUCCAAGUUGCUUUUAUUUUUGUCUUACGCACUUUUUUUUUUCUAUGUGAGUUUCAGAAAUAUCCUUAUUACUAGGUUCGAGAUCUACAUCUAUGAAUUGAAAGGUCCGAUUGAUCAACUCUGCAAUCAGUUGUUAGAAUCAAUAGGUCUUCAAGUUGUUCAUUUCCAAAAAUUGAAACCCUUCUUAGUGGACGAUCAUGAUAGUUCCAAAAAAUCAAAAUUCUUGAUCAAUGGAGGAACAAUAUCACCAUUUUGUUCAAUAAGAUACCAAAGUGGAUGAUUGAUUUAUUCCAUACUAGAAAUAAUCGCAGGAAAUCCUUUGGUAACCCGGAUUCCUAUUUCUCAAUGAUAUUCCACUAUCAAGACAAUUGGUUGAAUCCCGUGAAACCAUUUCAUAGAAGUUCAUUGAUAUCUUCUUUUUAUAAAGAAAAUCGACUUCGAUUCUUGAAUAAUCCCCAGCACUUCUACUUCUAUUGGAACACAAGAUUCCCCUUUUCUGUGGAAAAGGCCCGUAUCAAUAAUUCUGAUUUUACGUAUGGACAAUUCCUCAAUAUCUUGUUCAUUCGCAACAAAAGAUUUUCUUUGUGCGUCGGUAAAAAAACAUGCUUUUUGGGGGAGAGAUACUAUUUCACCAAUCAAUUCACAGAUAUCUAACAUAUUCAUACCUAAUGAUUUUCCACAAAGUGGAGACAAAACGUAUAACUUGUACAAAUAUUUCCAUUUUCCAAGUCGAUCCGAUCUAUUCAUUCGUAGAGCUAUUUACUCGAUUGCAGAUAUUUUUGGAACACCUCUAACCGAGGGGCGAAUAGUUAAUUUUGAAAGAACUUAUUGCCAACCUCUUUCAGAUAUUAAUCUAUCUGAUUCAGAAAGGAAGAACUUUCAUCAGUAUCUCAAUUUCAAUUCAAACAUGGGUUUGAUUCACACUCCAUGUUCUGAGAAAGAUUUAUCAUCUAAAAAGAGGAAAAAAUGGAGUCUUUUUCUAAAGAAAUGCGUUGAGAAAGGGCUGAUGUAUAGAACCUUUCAACGAGAUAGUACUUUUUCAACUCUCUCGAAAUGAAAUCUAUUCAACUCAAAAUAGAAUCUAUUCCAAACAUAUAUGUCAUGGUUCCUUACUUCGACAGGGUACAAAUAUCUAAAUUUGAUAUUUUUAGAUAUUUUUUCAGACCUAUUGUCAAUACUAAGAAGCGAUCAAAAAUUUGUAUCCAUUUUUCCUGAUAUUAUGCAUGGAUCAGGAAUAUCAUGAUGAAUUCUUCAAAAAAAAUUAUGUCUUCCAUAAUGGAAUCUGAUAAGUGAAAUCUCGAGUAAGUGUUUACAUAAUCUUCCUCUUUCCGAAGAAAUGAUUCAUCAAAACAAUGAGUCACCAUUGAUAUCGAUAUAUCUGAGAUCGCCAAAUGCUCGGGAGUUCCUCUAUUCAAUCCUUUUCCUUCUUCUUGUUGCUGGAUAUCUCGUUUGUACACAUCUUCUCUGUGUUUCUCGGGCCUCUAGUGAGUUACAAACAGAGUUUGAAAGGGUCAAAUCUUUGAUGAUUCCAUCAUCUAUGAUUGAGUUUCGAAAAUAUUUGGAUAGGUAUCCUACAUCUGAACCGAAUUAUUUCUGGUUAAAGAAUCUCUUUCUAGUUGCUCUGGAACAAUUAGGAGAUUCUCUAAAAGAACUAUGGGGUUCUGCAUCUGGUGGCAACAUGCUUGGUUUCGCUUAUGGUGUCAAAUCAAUACAUUCUAAGAAGAUAGAUUGGAAUAUCAAUCGCAUCGAGAUCAUUGAUAUUAUACCAAAUCCCAUCAAUCGAAUCACUUUUUCGAGAAAUACGAGACAUCUAAGUCAUACAAGUAAGGAGAUCUAUUCAUUGAUAAGAAAAAGAAAAAACAUGAACGGGGAUUGGAUUGAUGAGAAAAUAGAAUCUUGGGUCGCGAACAGUGAUUCGAUUCAUGAUUAAGAAAGAGAAUUCUUGGUUCAGUUCUCCAUCUUAAGGACAAAAAAUAGGAUUGAUCAAAUUCUAUUGAGUUUGACUCAUAGUGAUCAUUUAUUAAAGAAUGACUUGGGUUAUCAAAUGAUUGAACAACCAGGAGCAAUUUACUUACGAUACUUAGUUGACAUUGAUAAAAAGCAUCUAAUUAAUUAUGAGUUCAAUCCAUCCUAUUCAGCAGAAAGAUGGAUAUUCCUUGCUUAUUAUCAGACAAUCACUUAUUCACAAACUUCGUGUGGGCAAAAUAGUUUUCAUUUUCCAUCUCAUGGAAAACCCUUUUCGCUCUGCUUAGCCUUAUUCCCCUCUAGGGGUAUUUUAGUGAUAGGUUCUAUAGGAACUGGAAGAUCCUAUUUGGUCAAAUACCUAGCGAGAAACUCCUAUGUUCCUUUCAUUACGGUAUUUCUGAACAAGUUCCUGUACAACAAUCCUAAAGGUUUUCUUCUUGAUGAGAUUGAUAUUGAUGAUAGUGACAAUACUGAUGAUAGUGACAAUCUUGAUACUAGUGACAUUCUUGAUGCUAGUGACAAUCUUGCUGCUAGUGAUGAUAUCGAUCGUGACCUUGAUACGUAGUUUGAACUGCUAACUAGGAUGAAUGGGCUAACUGUGGAUAUAAUACCGGAAAUAGAUCGAUUUUAUAUCACCUUUCAAUUUGAAUUAGCAAAAGUAAUGUCUCCUUGCAAAAUAUGGAUUCCAAACAUUCAUGAUCUGGAUGUGAAUGAGUCGAAUGACUUAUCCCUCGGUCUAUUAGUGAACCAUCUCUCCAGGGAUUGUGAAAGAUGUUCUACUAGAAAUAUUCUUGUUAUUGCUUCGACUCAUAUUCCCCAAAAAGUGGAUCCCGCUCUAAUAGCUCUGAAUAAAUUAAAUACGUGCAUUACACUAUGAAGUUUUCUUAUUCCACAACAACGAAAGCACCUUUUCACUCUUUCAUAUUCUAGGGGAUUUUACUUGGAAAAGAAAAUGUUCUAUACUAACGGAUUUGGGUCCAUAACCAUGGGUUCCAAUGCAUGAGAUCUUGUAGAACUUACCAAUAACGUCCUAUCGAUUAGUAUUACACAGAAUAAAUCAAUUAUAGACACUAAUACAAAGAUCCACUCUUCAUAGACAAACUUGGAAUUUGUGAUCCCAGGUAAGAUCGGUUCAGGAUCAUGGGAUCCUUUUCUAUCAAAUAGGAAGGGCUAUUGCACAAAAUAUACCUCUAAGUAAUUGCCCCAUAUAUCCUAUAUCUAUCUAUAUGAAGAAGAAAUCAUGUAACGAAGGGGAUUCUUAUUUGUAAAAAUGGUACUUCGAGCUUGGAACGAGCAUGAAGAGAUUAACGAUACUUCUUUAUCUUUUGAGUUGUUCUACUGGAUAAGUCAUUCAAGAUCUUUGGUCUUUAUCUGGACCUAAUGAA
rnacentral:lncRNA from 1 species